GCGAAAACUUUACAAUGCUGGCAACAGCGAUAAGGGAACCUCGAGUGCCAGGUUACAAAUCUGGCUGUCGAGAUGCCUAAAAAGCAUUUCAUAGCAAGGGCCGGGCAAGACCGGUGCCAGCCGCCGCGGUAACACCGGCGGCUCGAGUGGUAACCGUUAUUAUUGGGUCUAAAGGGUCUGUAGCCGGCCGGAUAAGUCUCUUGAGAAAUCUGGCAGCUUAACUGUCAGGCUUGCAGGAGAUACUGUCUGGCUCGAGGCCGGGAGAGGUGAGAGGUACUUCAGGGGUAGGGGUGAAAUCUUGUAAUCCUUGAAGGACCACCAGUGGCGCAGGCGUCUCACCAGAACGGACCUGACGGCAAGGGACGAAAGCUAGGGGCACGAACC
rnacentral:rRNA from 1 species